UCAUACUGUAACAUCAGUAACUUGACAGUAUAAAGAAAACUGUCAUAUGAAUGAGUGCACCUUUACUGGUUUAAUAAAAAAGAGCCAAAGACAUGCCUCUUCUGAAAGCACUCAACUACUUCACAACCAUAAAUGAAAGCACUUAUUGCUAACAAUAUGAAAACAACAGGUAUAAAGUUAAGAAUGCUAAUUAGACUUCAAAUAAACCUUGUACCAAAAUAACACAAAAAUAGAAUAAUUAUGCUUACAAUAAAUGGCAAGUGUUUAGUGUUAUAACACACCCUUAUAAACUUACUGUUUCUUGGAUGUUCAGGUCACACACAUUUAUAAAAAAAAAAUAAAAAAUAAAAAAAUAAAAUUACAUUAAAGUAUUAGCAUUUUGGUCAAUUUAAGUAUCAAACUUUGCAAACAAUUUCCCCGGAAAUUAAAAGAACUUCAUUACCUUACUUCCUGAGGAAAGCCCCUGCGUUCCAUUCGGAAGGGCUCAUAUGCCCUAACCCCUUAAAAGGGUUUACCAUCUGGAGUGAGAGCUUCCAAGGGUUGAAGGGUGUAGGGGACCAAACAACUGUUUCUUGAAGUGCCCUUCUGCGUCAUCAUCACGUGCCCAAACAGAGGCGCCGGUCAUCAUACAAAGAAUCUGCGCAAAGGAUCAUGGGAGCCCGAAGUGUCCAUCAGUUGUACCCUUCGAAAUCCUUCAUUCCGAAGGGCCCUUUGAAGUGGCCAGUUUUGAGCACUUCGGUUUGGAACGACCCUUCAAUAUGGCGGCCAUGAUUGUUUUCACUCAGAAGUGCCCUUCGGAGGGCGAUAUUUUCCGUUUGGAACGGACCGAAAGUCUCCUGAACUUCAGCAUCAUCAUCAUCAUCAUCCGAUUCGCGCUCAUUUUUGCACUCUGUACGCGCGCUAACGUAACCAGACCAUCAAAAGAAACCAGAAGAGGGAGAAUCCAUGAUGGGAAAAAAAAAGCUUUUGCUCUAUCUCUUAUGGAUUGUCUAGAUUCUGUCCUCAUUGAGGAUUCUCGCGAGUAUCUAUGGUUCCUUUCAUCUGUCCAUUAAAAAGGUGCAAUUAAAAAACUGACACAAAGAGACAUAUUUCUGUGGCUUUCUGGCACCCAUAAAAGCUCCUUUAUCAUGGUGCUCAUCUUUGAAGGCUUGACCCUCCUGUCAGUUAUUUUCAUGCUUUUGUGAGGUAAACACUUACUGAAGCGCUGCAAAAAUCUGUCGGAGAAGUGUUCCAAAAAUACAAGACAGACAUCACAGUGUUGAUGAAGUACACCAGCAUGUUUCAGAAUACCUUAUUUGCCAUAUUUAGAACAACCUUGAGAAAAAAUUAAUACUGUUAGGCAAAUAUUGGGCUAAUUUAAACAACAACAAUAGUUUUCUCCCAAAUGCUGCUGGACUAAAUGAUCUUUAUUAAUUAAAACAUUCAACAUUUAUUCUCAGGCAUUUACCCCAGAGCAUCUUUAUUGAGAAAUCAACUUAAGACUGUGUAUUUAAAGUCUGAUAUUGCAUAAACAAAGAGUGAGCAGAGGGUAUAAACCAGGUUUUAUUGCACCGAGCAGCUGGCCUCAUACAUGAUAAAAUUACAAAAUUAGCUUUGUGCUUAUCAAAUUCAUCCAAGGUGCACAUUGUGAACUGUCAUUUUUUAGACAAGUUUAACCGAGAGUUACAGAACACUAUAACGGUGAAGCUGAAAAAGUCAGUCAGGUAGUUAAACACAAUAACUUUAGAAAACACUUAAACGGUAUCAAAUCAAAUAUUUACACCUUUAGCAGCAAAAAAAAAAGAAAAGUAAACGUGAACUGAAACAUGAUCAAAACCAAUGUGCAAAACGGCAACAAUUCUGUAACAUACAAGUAUGAGGAAUCCAUUUUAAAUUGGCCACAUUUCCCAAGCAGAGAUAACAUUCAAUUGUCAGUAUAAAAAUAUAUAUGUAAAAAAAAAGAAAAGAAAUGAACACUCCAGGGUACGAAUUAAAAUACUCUAAAUUUUUUUUGUUCAAGAAAAAUCCUCAGCUGUGAUGUCAUAGCUUAAACUAAAUAAAACAAAAUAACAAAAAUCA
ensembl:lncRNA